rnacentral:rRNA from 2 species
GGGUUGUGAGGUUAAGCGACUAAGCGUACACGGUGGAUGCCCUGGCAGUCAGAGGCGAUGAAGGGCGUGCUAAUCUGCGAUAAGCGCCGGUAAGGUGAUAUGAACCGUUAUAACCGGCGAUACCCGAAUGGGGAAACCCAGUGUGACUCGUCACACUAUCAUUAACUGAAUCCAUAGGUUAAUGAGGCGAACCGGGGGAACUGAAACAUCUAAGUACCCCGAGGAAAAGAAAUCAACCGAGAUUCCCCCAGUAGCGGCGAGCGAACGGGGAGGAGCCCAGAGCCUGAAUCAGCAUGUGUGUUAGUGGAAGCGUCUGGAAAGGCGCGCGAUACAGGGUGACAGCCCCGUACACAAAAGCGCAUGUGCUGUGAGCUCGAUGAGUAGGGCGGGACACGUGGUAUCCUGUCUGAAUAUGGGGGGACCAUCCUCCAAGGCUAAAUACUCCUGACUGACCGAUAGUGAACCAGUACCGUGAGGGAAAGGCGAAAAGAACCCCGGCGAGGGGAGUGAAAAAGAACCUGAAACCGUGUACGUACAAGCAGUGGGAGCACAGGUUUACCUGUGUGACUGCGUACCUUUUGUAUAAUGGGUCAGCGACUUAUAUUCUGUAGCAAGGUUAACCGAAUAGGGGAGCCGGAGGGAAACCGAGUCUUAACCGGGCGUUAAGUUGCAGGGUAUAGACCCGAAACCCGGUGAUCUAGCCAUGGGCAGGUUGAAGGUUGGGUAACACUAACUGGAGGACCGAACCGACUAAUGUUGAAAAAUUAGCGGAUGACCUGUGGCUGGGGGUGAAAGGCCAAUCAAACCGGGAGAUAGCUGGUUCUCCCCGAAAGCUAUUUAGGUAGCGCCUCGUGAAUUCAUCUCCGGGGGUAGAGCACUGUUUCGGCUAGGGGGCCAUCCCGGCUUACCAACCCGAUGCAAACUGCGAAUACCGGAGAAUGUUAUCACGGGAGACACACGGCGGGUGCUAACGUCCGUCGUGAAGAGGGAAACAACCCAGACCGCCAGCUAAGGUCCCAAAGUCAUGGUUAAGUGGGAAACGAUGUGGGAAGGCCCAGACAGCCAGGAUGUUGGCUUAGAAGCAGCCAUCAUUUAAAGAAAGCGUAAUAGCUCACUGGUCGAGUCGGCCUGCGCGGAAGAUGUAACGGGGCUAAACCAUGCACCGAAGCUGCGGCAGCGAACGUAUCACUUAAAGCGAUUCAGCGGGUUACGAUUGACGGAGCGAAGCGACGUCAAAGCGUAUACAAAGUCGAGUCGGUUUAAGGAUACGUUCGUUGGGUAGGGGAGCGUUCUGUAAGCCUGUGAAGGUGUGUCGUGAGGCAUGCUGGAGGUAUCAGAAGUGCGAAUGCUGACAUAAGUAACGAUAAAGCGGGUGAAAAGCCCGCUCGCCGGAAGACCAAGGGUUCCUGUCCAACGUUAAUCGGGGCAGGGUGAGUCGACCCCUAAGGCGAGGCCGAAAGGCGUAGUCGAUGGGAAACGGGUUAAUAUUCCCGUACUUGGUGUUACUGCGAAGGGGGGACGGAGAAGGCUAUGUUGGCCGGGCGACGGUUGUCCCGGUUUAAGCGUGUAGGCUGGUUUUCCAGGCAAAUCCGGAAAAUCAAGGCUGAGGCGUGAUGACGAGGCACUACGGUGCUGAAGCAACAAAUGCCCUGCUUCCAGGAAAAGCCUCUAAGCAUCAGGUAACAUCAAAUCGUACCCCAAACCGACACAGGUGGUCAGGUAGAGAAUACCAAGGCGCUUGAGAGAACUCGGGUGAAGGAACUAGGCAAAAUGGUGCCGUAACUUCGGGAGAAGGCACGCUGACACGUAGGUGAAGUGAUUUACUCAUGGAGCUGAAGUCAGUCGAAGAUACCAGCUGGCUGCAACUGUUUAUUAAAAACACAGCACUGUGCAAACACGAAAGUGGACGUAUACGGUGUGACGCCUGCCCGGUGCCGGAAGGUUAAUUGAUGGGGUCAGCGCAAGCGAAGCUCCUGAUCGAAGCCCCGGUAAACGGCGGCCGUAACUAUAACGGUCCUAAGGUAGCGAAAUUCCUUGUCGGGUAAGUUCCGACCUGCACGAAUGGCGUAAUGAUGGCCAGGCUGUCUCCACCCGAGACUCAGUGAAAUUGAACUCGCUGUGAAGAUGCAGUGUACCCGCGGCAAGACGGAAAGACCCCGUGAACCUUUACUAUAGCUUGACACUGAACAUUGAGCCUUGAUGUGUAGGAUAGGUGGGAGGCUUUGAAGCGUGGACGCCAGUCUGCGUGGAGCCGACCUUGAAAUACCACCCUUUAAUGUUUGAUGUUCUAACGUGGACCCGUGAUCCGGGUUGCGGACAGUGUCUGGUGGGUAGUUUGACUGGGGCGGUCUCCUCCUAAAGAGUAACGGAGGAGCACGAAGGUUGGCUAAUCCUGGUCGGACAUCAGGAGGUUAGUGCAAUGGCAUAAGCCAGCUUGACUGCGAGCGUGACGGCGCGAGCAGGUGCGAAAGCAGGUCAUAGUGAUCCGGUGGUUCUGAAUGGAAGGGCCAUCGCUCAACGGAUAAAAGGUACUCCGGGGAUAACAGGCUGAUACCGCCCAAGAGUUCAUAUCGACGGCGGUGUUUGGCACCUCGAUGUCGGCUCAUCACAUCCUGGGGCUGAAGUAGGUCCCAAGGGUAUGGCUGUUCGCCAUUUAAAGUGGUACGCGAGCUGGGUUUAGAACGUCGUGAGACAGUUCGGUCCCUAUCUGCCGUGGGCGCUGGAGAACUGAGGGGGGCUGCUCCUAGUACGAGAGGACCGGAGUGGACGCAUCACUGGUGUUCGGGUUGUCAUGCCAAUGGCACUGCCCGGUAGCUAAAUGCGGAAGAGAUAAGUGCUGAAAGCAUCUAAGCACGAAACUUGCCCCGAGAUGAGUUCUCCCUGAGACUUAAAGUCUCCUGAAGGAACGUUGAAGACGACGACGUUGAUAGGCCGGGUGUGUAAGCGCAGCGAUGCGUUGAGCUAACCGGUACUAAUGAACCGUGAGGCUUAACCUUACAACGCCGAAG